GACGAAAUAGUUUAAGAUAAAAACAGUAGAUUGUGGUUCUGUAAAUAGAGAGUUAUGCUUUUCGUCA
rnacentral:tRNA from 1 species